CCUGAGAAACCCAAAAGAUCGAAUGGGGAGAUUCAUCGUCAGCUCAUUUUGUAUAUGUAUAAGUUAUGAUGCGGGUUACUACUUGUAGUAUUGCCUGCACAUUCUUGUAUAUUUAGUUGCAAGAUGUUGUCGGCGUGCACUUCUCCCCUAGUAGGACGUCGCGACCUGUUGGGUAUCGGUCUACGGCCCAAGUGAUAGACUUUAAUGUAAUUUAAAAAGCAUUAAAGAUCCUUGGUGUUUUCUGACCGGUUACUUGGCAGUAUUCGUACGGUAUUUAGCCGCUAAAUUUAUUAAGCGUCCAUGUCUUUCACAAGCGAGGCUAAUCUACUGAUAGUACGGACCAAGUGCCGUCGUUGGUAUUGGCCAGCUGUUGGUUGUAUAGUAUUCUAGGACUGGCUAAAAUUAAUUACCGGUCGGCGAUGCUACUGCUUUGGGUACUUUCAG
rnacentral:rRNA from 1 species